rnacentral:lncRNA from 1 species
GUUGUUCCAAAUUCACUCCAGGAAAUAGGCCGACCUUCCCGACCCUUUACACUCAGGGUCUGGCGAGGCGGAGGAUCUCCCGACCCCGGGACUCGGGGCCGGGCGAGGCGGAGCGUCUUCCGACCCCUGGACUUUGGGAUCGGGCGAGUCGGAGCAUCUCCCGACCCCAGGACUCGGGGUCGGGCGAAUCGGAGAUCGACCCUCAAGGGGUCAGGCGCAUCCGACCCCAAGCUGGAGGUCGGACGAGACGGAGUCCCAGGCGCACCCGACUCCAGGACGAAGGACUCAAGGUCGGACAGGGAGGAGUUCCAUCCUCACACGUGACCAAGAGUCCGUACCGCUCAUUACCCCCUGUCUGGGUUUUCGGUACUAUAUAUACCGACACCCUUGCUAGGGUUUCGGGGCGACAGACAGAAGAUAGAAAAGAGAGAGAUCAUCAGAUUCUCUUGUAAGCCGCCGUAGGCGUGUAACCCCAAAACUCUUGAUAUAGUGAGAUUGUUGCCGGCUGGUGCCCGUGGUUUUUCCCUUUCACAUUGAAGGGGUUUUCCACGUAAAUCGUGUGUCUCUGUGCGGUUUUGAUUCUUUACUUCUUAUUUCAUACGCCGUUCGUUCCUAACAAGUGGUACCAGAGCUUUGGUUGCUGUUUGGAUUUCAUGUCGACGUCGAUGAAGUUUGAUCUACCGCUACUGAACUACGACACGCGGUUCUCGCUAUGGCAAGUCAAGAUGAGGGGAAUUCUGGCGCAAACUCAUGAUUAUGAUGAGGCGCUGGAAAGCUUCGGGAAGAAGACGAAGGCCGAGUGGACUCCAGAAGAGAUCCGCAAGGAUCAGAAGGCUCUCGCCUUAAUACAGUUGCAUCUUCAUAAUGACAUUUUGCAGGAGUGUCUGAAAGAAAAAACUGCUGCAGAAUUAUGGCUGAAACUGGAAUCGAUCUGUAUGUCCAAGGAUCUAACCAGUAAGAUGCAGAUGAAGAUGAAGCUGUUCACCUUGAAGAUGAAGGAAGAAGAUUCAGUGAUAAACCACAUCGCUGAAUUCAAGAAGAUCGUCGCCGAUCUAGUAUCAAUGGAGGUGAAGUAUGAUGAUGAGGACUUAGGUCUUUUACUGUUAUGUUCUUUGCCAACUUCGUAUACAAAUUUUCGUGACACCAUACUCUUGAGCCGUGAUGAACUAACCUUAAAGGAAGUUUAUGAGGCUCUCCAAUCAAGGGAGAAGAUGAAAGGUAUGGUGCAGAAUGACAGGACGUCGUCCUCCAGAGGCGAUGCUUUGCUUGUGAGAGGCAGAACUGAUAACAGAUCCUCCAAUGAUGAUGGAAGAAAAAACUAUGAAAGACGAGGCCGUUCAAAGUCCAAGCCGCAUGGUAACAAAAAAUUCUGUGUUUAUUGCAAGCUAACAAAUCACAAUGUUGAGGAUUGCAGAAAAGUACAGAAUAAGGAGAAGAAGAAAAACAAGUCGGCUGGUAAGGUCUCUGUUGCUGCUGCCGUGUCUGAUGAAGAAUCUGGAGAUAGUCUGGUUGUAUUUGCCGGUUGUGUUGCUGGUCAUGAUGAGUGGAUCCUUGAUUCCGCAUGUUCAUUUCAUAUUUGCAUUAACAGAAAUUGGUUUAGCUCUUACAAGGCUAUGCCGAAAGGGGAUGUUGUGCGGAUGGGAGAUAAUAGCCCGUGUGAUAUUGUGGGGAUUGGAUCAGUUCAGAUCAAGACUCAUGAUGGCAUGACACGCACUCUGAAAAACGUCAGGUACAUACCAGGGAUGUCCAGAAAUCUUAUUUCAUUGAGCACGCUUGAUGCAAAAGGUUACAAAUAUUCCGGUUCGGAUGGUGUUCUGAAGGUAUCAAGAGGUAAUCUCGUCUGCUUAAAAGGUGAUCUCAAUUCUGCUAAAUUAUAUGUCCUUAGAGGGUGUACUUUACCUGGUUCUGAUUCCGCUGUUGCUGCUGUUACUAAUGAGGAACCUAGUAAAACUAACCUUUGGCAUAUGCGUCUGGGACAUAUGAGUCACCUUGGUAUGGCUGAAUUGAUGAGGAGAAACCUACUGGAUGGCUGCACUUCGAGUAAAAUGAAGUUUUGUGAGCACUGUGUUUUCGGGAAGCAUAAAAGGGUACGUUUCAACACUUCUGUUCACACCACAAAAGGUACUCUUGAUUAUAUACAUGCUGACUUAUGGGGACCUUCUCGUAAGCCCUCGCUUGGUGGUGCUCGUUACAUGCUCACAAUUAUUGAUGAUUACUCUAGAAGGGUUUGGCCUUAUUUUCUGAAACAGAAAGAUGAUACUUUUGCCGCCUUUAAGGACUGGAAAGUCAUGAUUGAAAGACAAACUGAAAGGAAGGUGAAAUUGCUUCGCACUGAUAAUGGUGGAGAGUUUUGUUCGCGUGAAUUUAAUGAUUAUUGCAGAUCAGAAGGCAUUGUAAGGCAUCACACCAUACCCCAUACUCCACAACAGAAUGGUGUGGCUGAACGCAUGAACAGAUCCAUCAUAUCCAAGGCCCGUUGCAUGCUGUCCAAUGCCAGGAUGAGCAAGCGUUUUUGGGCUGAAGCUGCUAAUACUGCCUGUUACUUGAUCAACAGGUCGCCUUCUAUUCCACUAAAUAAAAGAACUCCCAUUGAGGUAUGGUCUGGUACGCCUGCUGAUUACUCACAGUUGAAAGUUUUUGGAUGCACUGCAUAUGCUCAUGUUGAUAAUGGAAAAUUGGAGCCUAGAGCUGUUAAAUGUCUUUUCCUUGGUUAUGGUUCGGGUGUCAAAGGCUAUAAAUUGUGGAACCCGGAAACAGGAAAGACCUUUCUGAGCAGAAGUGUUAUUUUCAAUGAAUCUGUGAUGUUUACUGACAACUUGCCCUCAGACCAAGUUCCAGACAAAGAACUGCAGCGUAUGCGCAUGCAGGUGGAGAACGCACGUGAUGAUGCUGAUAACCCCGACCCCUUGGUCUCGGGGUCGGAUGCGCCAGACCCCUUGGCUCCAGGGUCGGCUGAUGCUCAAGCACCAGACCCCUUGGCUCCGGGGUCGGAUGUUGCUGCGCCAGACCCCUUGGCUCUGGGGUCGGCUGUUGCUGAUGCGCCAGACCCCUCAGUCUCGGGGUCGGCUGAUGCUCAUGAUGAUGUCCAGCAAACUCCAGAGGAGGAUCUACCCAUUGCUAAACGCAAGUCCAAAAGGACUGUUGUCCCUCCUAACCGUCUUAUUGAAGAAUGUAACUUGUCUUACCAUGCUUUGAGUUGUGCUGAACAGGUGGAGAAUGUUCAUGAGCCAGCAACCUAUAAAGAAGCUAUUCAUUGUGAUGAUACUGAAAACUGGAUUUCGGCUAUGCAUGAGGAGAUGCAAUCUCUUGAGAAGAACAGUACAUGGGAACUUGUACCUUUGCCUAAGAAUAAGAAGGCCAUCCGCUGCAAGUGGAUCUUCAAGAGAAAGGAGGGUUUAUCUCCAAGAGAGCCUCCAAAGUAUAAGGCAAGGUUAGUUGCUAAAGGCUACAGCCAAAUUCCGGGUGUUGACUACAAUGAUGUUUUCUCUCCAGUGGUAAAACACAGUUCAAUUCGCACUUUCCUUAGUGUUGUUGCUUCACAUGAUCUUGAGCUUGAGCAGUUAGAUGUGAAGACUGCGUUUUUGCAUGGAGAGCUCGAGGAGGACAUAUACAUGGACCAACCAGAAGGCUUCACAGUGCCUGGCAAGGAGAAAUAUGUGUGCAAGUUGAAGAGAUCCUUGUAUGGUUUGAAACAGUCCCCUCGACAGUGGAACAAGAGGUUUGAUUCAUUUAUGUUAUCACACAGUUUUAAAAGAUCUAAGUAUGAUAGCUGUGUUUAUAUCAAGCAUGUUAAUGGAUCACCUAUAUACUUGCUGAUAUAUGUUGAUGAUAUGCUGAUUGCUGCCAAGAGUAAGAAUGAAAUCAAUAAGUUAAAGAAACUAUUGAGUAGUGGUUUUGAUAUGAAAGAUCUUGGUAGUGCUAAGAAAAUUCUUGGUAUGGAAAUUAGUAGAGACCGAAAUUCUGGUUUGCUAUUUCUUAGUCAACAGAAUUAUAUCAAGAAAGUUCUUCAGCGUUUCAACAUGCAAGAUGCUAAGGCUGUAAGUACUCCUAUUGCACCUCACUUCAAGUUGUCAGCUGCUCAGUGUCCUAGUACAGAUGCAGAGGUCAAAGACAUGUCAAAGAUUCCUUAUUCUAGUGCUGUUGGGUCCUUGAUGUAUGCCAUGGUUUGCUCUCGCCCAGAUUUGUCAUAUGCUAUGAGUCUUGUUAGUAGAUAUAUGUCUAAUCCCGGCAAAGAACAUUGGAGGGCAGUUCAGUGGAUUUUCAGAUACCUCAAAGGCACAGCAAAUUCCUGUUUAAAGUUUGGAAGAACUGAUGAGGGUCUUGUUGGCUAUGUGGACUCAGAUUAUGCUGCUGAUCUGGACAGGCGAAGAUCACUCACAGGUUAUGUGUUUACUGUUGGCAGUUGUGCUGUGAGUUGGAAGGCUACUUUACAGUCAGUUGUUGCUUUGUCUACUACUGAAGCAGAAUACAUGGCAAUUUGUGAAGCGUGCAAAGAACUGAUUUGGCUGAAAGGUUUGUACGCCGAGCUUUGUGGAGUUGAAGCUUGCAUAAGUUUGCACUGUGACAGCCAAAGUGCAAUUUACCUCACUAAAGAUCAAAUGUUCCAUGAAAGAACUAAGCACAUUGACAUCAAGUAUCAUUUUGUGCGUGAUGUGAUCGAAGAAGGUAAGCUGAAGGUAUGCAAGAUCAGUACUCAUGAUAAUCCUGCUGAUAUGAUGACAAAGCCUGUUCCUGUUGCUAAGUUUGAGCUGUGCUCGGGCUUAGUUGGUUUAAUCGGAUAGUCCAAGAGACUAUUGCUGGCACCAGUGUUUUUCUUGUCUUUGUUCUAUUCAGGAUGAAGGGUUGAUGAUACAAGAUGAAUUUGUCUCAAGGUGGAGUUUGUUGGAGUUGUUCCAAAUUCACUCCAGGAAAUAGGCCGACCUUCCCGACCCUUUACACUCAGGGUCUGGCGAGGCGGAGGAUCUCCCGACCCCGGGACUCGGGGCCGGGCGAGGCGGAGCGUCUUCCGACCCCUGGACUUUGGGAUCGGGCGAGUCGGAGCAUCUCCCGACCCCAGGACUCGGGGUCGGGCGAAUCGGAGAUCGACCCUCAAGGGGUCAGGCGCAUCCGACCCCAAGCUGGAGGUCGGACGAGACGGAGUCCCAGGCGCACCCGACUC